rnacentral:SRP_RNA from 1 species
CGGGUGUAAGGGGCAGACGGAAAAUGCGUAACCCCGCCAGGUCCGGAAGGAAGCAACGGUAUCGUAGCCCCCGGGUUGUCCCUUACACUCAUGC